rnacentral:rRNA from 1 species
UAACGACGUGGGGUAAACCCUGCCCUCAAUACAGGGGGAGUAACAGCUGAAACGGCUGCUAAUACCGCAUAACAUAUCAAACCGCAUGGUUUUGAUAUCAAACUUUUUGGGUAUGAGAUGGGCCCGCGUCUGAUUAGCUAGUUGGUGGGGUAACGGCCUACCAAGGCAACGAUCAGUAGCCGGCUUGAGAGAGUGAACGGCCACAUUGGGACUGAGACACGGCCCAAACUCCUACGGGAGGCAGCAGUGGGGAAUAUUGCACAAUGGGGGAAACCCUGAUGCAGCGACGCCGCGUGAGUGAAGAAGUAUUUCGGUAUGUAAAGCUCUAUCAGCAGGGACGAUAAUGACGGUACCUGACUAAGAAGCCCCGGCUAACUACGUGC